rnacentral:rRNA from 1 species
GUGGGGAAUCUUCCACAAUGGACGAAAGUCUGAUGGAGCAACGCCGCGUGAGUGAAGAAGGGUUUCGGCUCGUAAAGCUCUGUUGUCGGGGACGAAUGUGCAGUAUUUGAAUAAAGUACUGCAAUGACGGUACCUGACGAGGAAGCCACGGCUAACUACGUGCCAGCAGCCGCGGUAAUACGUAGGUGGCAAGCGUUGUCCGGAAUUAUUGGGCGUAAAGGGAGCGCAGGCGGGAAGGUAAGUCGGUCUUAAAAGUGCGGGGCUCAACCCCGUGAUGGGAUCGAAACUAUCUUUCUUGAGUGCAGGAGAGGAAAGUGGAAUUCCUAGUGUAGCGGUGAAAUGCGUAGAUAUUAGGAGGAACACCAGUGGCGAAGGCGACUUUCUGGACGGUGUCUGACACUGAGGCGCGAAAGCCAGGGGAGCGAACGGGAUUAGAUACCCGGGUAGUCC